GGUGUGCUGUGAGGCAUGCUGGAGGUAUCAGAAGUGCGAAUGCUGACAUAAGUAACGAUAAAGCGGGUGAAAAGCCCGCUCGCCGGAAGACCAAGGGUUCCUGUCCAACGUUAAUCGGGGCAGGGUGAGUCGACCCCUAAGGCGAGGCCGAAAGGCGUAGUCGAUGGGAAACAGGUUAAUAUUCCUGUACUUGGUGUUACUGCGAAGGGGGGACGGAGAAGGCUAUGUUGGCCGGGCGACGGUUGUCCCGGUUUAAGCGUGUAGGCUGGUUUUCCAGGCAAAUCCGGAAAACUAAGGCUGAGGCGUGAUGACGAGGCACUACGGUGCUGAAGCAACAAAUGCCCUGCUUCCAGGAAAAGCCUCUAAGCAUCAGGUAACAUCAAAUCGUACCCCAAACCGACACAGGUGGUCAGGUAGAGAAUACCAAGGCGCUUGAGAGAACUCGGGUGAAGGAACUAGGCAAAAUGGUGCCGUAACUUCGGGAGAAGGCACGCUGAUAUGUAGGUGAAGUCCCUCGCGGAUGGAGCUGAAAUCAGUCGAAGAUACCAGCUGGCUGCAACUGUUUAUUAAAAACACAGCACUGUGCAAACACGAAAGUGGACGUAUACGGUGUGACGCCUGCCCGGUGCCGGAAGGUUAAUUGAUGGGGUCAGCGCAAGCGAAGCUCUUGAUCGAAGCCCCGGUAAACGGCGGCCGUAACUAUAACGGUCCUAAGGUAGCGAAAUUCCUUGUCGGGUAAGUUCCGACCUGCACGAAUGGCGUAAUGAUGGCCAGGCUGUCUCCACCCGAGACUCAGUGAAAUUGAACUCGCUGUGAAGAUGCAGUGUACCCGCGGCAAGACGGAAAGACCCCGUGAACCUUUACUAUAGCUUGACACUGAACAUUGAGCCUUGAUGUGUAGGAUAGGUGGGAGGCUUUGAAGUGUGGACGCCAGUCUGCAUGGAGCCGACCUUGAAAUACCACCCUUUAAUGUUUGAUGUUCUAACGUUGACCCGUAAUCCGGGUUGCGGACAGUGUCUGGUGGGUAGUUUGACUGGGGCGGUCUCCUCCUAAAGAGUAACGGAGGAGCACGAAGGUUGGCUAAUCCUGGUCGGACAUCAGGAGGUUAGUGCAAUGGCAUAAGCCAGCUUGACUGCGAGCGUGACGGCGCGAGCAGGUGCGAAAGCAGGUCAUAGUGAUCCGGUGGUUCUGAAUGGAAGGGCCAUCGCUCAACGGAUAAAAGGUACUCCGGGGAUAACAGGCUGAUACCGCCCAAGAGUUCAUAUCGACGGCGGUGUUUGGCACCUCGAUGUCGGCUCAUCACAUCCUGGGGCUGAAGUAGGUCCCAAGGGUAUGGCUGUUCGCCAUUUAAAGUGGUACGCGAGCUGGGUUUAGAACGUCGUGAGACAGUUCGGUCCCUAUCUGCCGUGGGCGCUGGAGAACUGAGGGGGGCUGCUCCUAGUACGAGAGGACCGGAGUGGACGCAUCACUGGUGUUCGGGUUGUCAUGCCAAUGGCACUGCCCGGUAGCUAAAUGCGGAAGAGAUAAGUGCUGAAAGCAUCUAAGCACGAAACUUGCCCCGAGAUGAGUUCUCCCUGACUCCUUGAGAGUCCUGAAGGAACGUUGAAGACGACGACGUUGAUAGGCCGGGUGUGUAAGCGCAGCGAUGCGUUGAGCUAACCGGUACUAAUGAACCGUGAGGCUUAACC
rnacentral:rRNA from 1 species